AUUGAACGCUGGCGGCAUGCUUUACACAUGCAAGUCGAACGGCAGCGCGGGCUUCGGCCUGGCGGCGAGUGGCGAACGGGUGAGUAAUGCAUCGGAACGUGCCCAGUAGUGGGGGAUAGCCCGGCGAAAGCCGGAUUAAUACCGCAUACGACCUGAGGGUGAAAGCGGGGGACCGAAAGGCCUCGCGCUAUUGGAGCGGCCGAUGUCGGGUUAGCUAGUUGGUGGGGUAAAGGCUUACCAAGGCGACGAUCCGUAGCUGGUCUGAGAGGACGACCAGCCACACUGGGCCUGAGACACGGCCCAGACUCCUACGGGAGGCAGCAGUGGGGAAUUUGGGACAAUGGGGGCAACCCUGAUCCAGCCAGGCCGCGGGCGGGAAGAAGGCCUUCGGGUUGUAAACCGCUUUUGUUCGGGAAGAAAUCCUCUGGGCUAAGACCCCGGGGGGAUGACGGUACCGGAAGAAUAAGCACCGGCUAACUACGU
rnacentral:rRNA from 1 species